CAGCUGAUUUCCAGAGGCCCUUCCAGCUCCUGUGUUGAUUCUUCUGCCUCGACUCACUUCUAGCAGACAAGUACCAUCCAGCUGACCCUGUAUAGGAAUCCAGAGGAAUUCUCACACACAAGGCAAGACGUAUGAGGAUGUUGCUGCAGCAUCGUUACUAGUGUUGGAAAUAAGAUGUUCCCCCUUUCUCCUUCUGAUAUGAGAAGAUACUUGUUAGCCCUCAAGCUGCUCAGAUGAGGGACUUUCCUGCCGAGAACCAACGUGAAGAGUGCAGCUUCUAUAAAGGAUUUCACUGGAUUUUUGUACUAAUGAACAAAUUUUAUUUGGAUGAGUAGAUAUUUAAUGUGCUGUUAUUACCACUGGAGUUAAAAGUAUAUUAUAAAUUCUUAUGUCUUUAAAACUAGAGAGAGGAUUCUGGGAAGAUGGCAGAGUAGAAAGCACCAGGAAUCCGACUUCCCACCUAAACAACUGUUCUAGCAGCAUCUGUCUGACACAACUAUUUUAAAACUUUGGGGUCUAUUGAAAGCUAGCAACUUCUAGGGGAAAAGUUGUACAGUAAGCUGCAGUUAAUUUCAGUGAAUUUCAGCACAGUAAUAGCCAAUAGUAGCCAAACCCUACUCCUCAGCCCUGUGUCAGGCAGCUGUGUAUGUGUUCCUGGACCAGUUUGCACACAACUUGCUGGAAUCAAGGUUGAAAAAAAAAAACUGUCCUCCAAAUAUUAGGGCUCUGAUUGCUGAUUGUUGCUUUACAAAGGUGCAGAAGAAGAAAUGACAGCCAUUGUUUUGUUGUUGCACCUUCCCCCCCAUUGUGGCAAACUCCACCUCCUCUGGCUGAAGCACCUUCCAGGGGAUUUAAACGAUGAGCCUUUUUCUGCCCUUCAUUUUUCUCUUUUUCUCCAUUUUUGGAAGCCAGACAUUGAAGGCUAUGACAUUCAAAACAACUGUAUAUACACUUGUUACAGAAGAUAUUAGAAAGUCACUGUGCGUGCCCAGGGACAGGCUUAGAAAAGACCCAAGAAGACUGUAAGCUUAUAUUUCAGGCUAAUCCUCAGCACAGAGACAGCCUAUAACAAUAAAAAACAAAAAGCUAGUAAACCCUGGGGAAGGAAAAUAAUCUGAUUUUCAGAAUUACCAGAUUAUUAGAUUCAAAAGUCUAGUUUUCAACAACAACAACAACAAAAACAAAAACACAAGAGAUACAAAGAAACAAGCAAAUAUGGCCCAUUCAAAGGAAAAAAUAAACCAACAGAAACUGUCCUUGAAAAGGAUCUGAUGGAGGAUCUAUUAGACAAAGACUUUAAAACAACUGUCUUAAAGUUACCCAAAGAACUAAAGGAAGAUGUGGAAAAUGUCAAGAAAAUGAUGUAUGAACAUAAUGGAAAUAUCAAUAAAGAGAGAGAAAACCUAAAAAGAAACCAAAAAGAAAUUGGUUUCCAGAAAUUUUCUGGAACUAAAAAGUACAAUAGCUGAAAGUUAAAAAAACUUGCUAGAGAGAUUCAAUGGCAGAUUUGAGCAAGCACAAGAAUCAACAAACUUGAAGAAAGGACAAGGAAAAUUAUUGAAUCUGAGGAAUAUAAAGAAAAAAAUUGAAGAAAACAGAGCCUAAAGGACCUGUAGGACAUCGUCAAACAGCCCCACACAGGCUUUAUGGGGAGUCCUUGAGGACAAGUAAGAGAAAGGGGCAAAGAGAUUAUUCAAAGAAAUUAUGACCAAAAACUUGCCAAAUUUAAUGAAAGACAUGAAUAUAAAUAUCCAAAAAGCUCAAUGAACUCCAAGUAGGAUAAAUUCAAAGACACACCAAAAGUAUUACCAUCAAACUAUUAAAAGCUGGAGACAGAAAAUUUUGAAAGCCGCAAGAGAGAAGUGAUCAUCACAUAUAAGGAAUCCUCAAUAAGAUUAUCUGCAGAUUUCUCAUCAGAAACUUCAGAGGCCAGAAAGCAGUAGGCUGAUAUAAAGUGCUAAAAGAAAGAAACUAUCAACUAAGAAUCCUAUAUCCAGCAAAUCUUCACUUCAAAAGCUGGAGGAUUCACACUUCUUUGUUUCAAAACUUACCACAAAGUUACAGCGAUCAAAACAGUGUGGUACUGGCACAAAGACAGACAUAUAGACCAAUGGAAUAGAACACAGUCCAGAAAAAAACCCUCUUAGCACAAGGGUGCUAAGAUUAUCCAAUGGGGAAAAGAUGAUCUUUUUGACAAAUGGUGCUGGGAAAAUUGCCACAUACAAAAGAAUACAGUUGGACCCUUACCUGAUACCAUUUACAUUAAAUUAAUGCAGACUAGAUCCAUAACCUAAUGUAAGAACUAAAACUAUAAAACUCAUAGGAGAAAGCAUAGGGCAAAAGUUCACAACAUUAGAAUGGGCAAUAAUUUCUUGGAUAUAACAUCACAAGUACAGGCAACAACAACAACAAAAGAACACAAAUUGGAUUGUAUUAC
rnacentral:lncRNA from 1 species